AACAUUAGUGGUCCAACAUGAUUUAACCUCUUAAAUACAAAGCGAAUAAACUAGCAUGUUACGUUAUAAGCCUGAGAAACGAAACUGAACGAAUAAGAAGCCAACUUCAGCCUUGUUAAUUUCUCUGCAUCGUAGUGUAAAUUGAUGAAACUGGUAUCGGGUGGUUGGUACAGGGAUUGAGUUGUCAUUGGCAGUACUUUACCAGACUUUAAAAGGGCCAGAAGUUGUUGACUUCUUGAAAACUAAAAGAGAGCAAUAAAGUGAACCCUUUGUUGUGGCUGUUUAGCAAGAGUCCAGUACAAGGUAGCCAGACAAUUCUUAAAUGUGCACUUUCUUCUGAUGUUUUGGAUAAAAGUGGAAAAUACUUCAGUAACUGUAUAGAAGUACCACCAGCAACUGAAGCGCAAGAUGAGGAAGGUGCGAAAAGACUGUGGAUGGUUAGUGAGAAAUGGACAAGGUUAAAAUAAGAAAAACCGUUGUUGUAUUACACCGAGAAAUGUUAAUUCUUCUUUAUUUUUAUUAAAUCAGCUAAAAUACAGUGAAACAAAAUAAGUCAUAGAAUUGAAAGUUUGAGCAAGCUUAUAAUUUGAAAAGAAGUCGUUCCAAUAAAUUGUGUUAGUUUAAGAUUGGCAUCACAAUUAUUAGGAUCUCUCGGAUAUUAAUUUAUAUUCAUCUUCAGUCCUAAUAACUGUCACAGUUUUACCAGGAAUAUUUUCGUCAAUACAAAAAACAACCAUCUAUUACAGACAGAUUUCAUUUUGUGUCGGGGCCUGGCAUGGUCUUGCAAUCUGUGGGCCACGGGUUCGAAUCCCACCAUCAAACACGCUCGUCCUUUUAGCCUUUGGGGGCAUAAUAAUGUGGUAGGUAAUGUCCCUAUUUGUAAAAGAGUAGUCCAACAGUUAGCAGUAGGUGGUGUUGACGAGUUGCAUUAUUCAAACUAGGGACAGCUAGUACAAAUAUCCCUAAAGUAGUUUUAUGUGGAAUUCAACAAAUAAACAAACUCUUUGUGUCUAUAAUUAUACAUAAAUCUUUUCUCUUUCUUUGUGUAACAAGAAGUCACCAAAUUUUUUUUUCUAAAUUUUUGAAAUAAUAACCUUAAACUUGUUGGAUUUCAUCAUUCUUGUUUGAUCAGAAGAAGACUGUUUUGAAUAAGAAGUUAAAGAAAAGCAGUUUAAUGUCACCAUAUUAUAUGUUGUUAUUCAUGAAAUUACUAUAUAGCAUAAUUAACAAACAGAGAUUGAAACGGAUCGUUAUGGUAACCCAACUGAUCAAUUCAAUGCAUUUUGGUCAUUAUAAGCUUUUGUCAUACAUUAUUAGUUGUGUUAAAUGAGACACUUCAUGCAGUUUCAAUGAGAAGUUAUUGAUAACAAAAUAGACCUGUUGUUAAUUGGAUCAUUUUUCACUUACGAGACAGUUCCUUCCCUGCCUCCCCCAGUGGCACAGUCUGUGGACUUACAACGCUAGAAUCCUGGUUUCGAUACCCAUGGUAGGCAGAGCACAGAUAGCCCAUUGUUUAGCUUUGUGCUUAAUUACAAACAAACAAACCUUCCCUGCCCUCCCUCUAUUAACUGACAUUUUUCACCAAUGUAAUAUAGUAAGAACCUGACUUGCUGACAACGUACUAUCAAGAAAUUUUCUGAAGAUUUAUAAACAGUUAAAUUGACAAUAUCCCCUGUGAAAUAGCUCAGGAUUAAGCUUGAGGACAUGUAAUACUAAAAUUAGGGGCUCAUAACCUUUGCACAUAACCUGUAGUGUAGCUUUGCACAUAAAAGUUUAUGAGAAAUAUAAACCAAAUUCCAAAUUCCUCUUACUUAAAUAAGUUUUGUAUUCCUCUAGUCAUAAUAUGAAGUCGUAUUUCUGUUAUAAACAUUCCAGCAAUUUCUUUGCACUUUUAGAUUUUCAAAUACACAAAGAAAAGCACUAACUUGAAUUGAGACAAUUUCUACACAGUGUUUUACUCAAGGCACUACUGUUUCACAUAAUCAUAAGUUAUAAGAUUGGAAAAUAUGUAACUUUCCACAAGUCGCACAAGAAGGGAAAAUUCAAUGAAGUUAUUUUUGACAUCUCAAAAGUCAACCAAAAAUGGAUAAACUCACUAAAUUAAUGUAGACAAUAAAUCACACUUUUGGAACAAAGUAUUAGCACAAAGGCUAGAAACUUACUUCAGUACUUUCACUUGUUGUCUUCUGCCUCACACAGUCCCCUGGAAGAAAUUUGCCUGCACAACUUAUGUGAAACCAAACUGUGAAAUUCCCCCGAGGACACAUGUUCUUAAGUUUGGCUUGAAAUGACCUUUUAGCAGUACUAAAAUUUGAUACAUUUUUAAUAGUAUAGCUUUCAACAAUUCUUUAUUUUAUGUAUUUUUUGGUUUUAUCUAUAAUUUUGGCUGAUUUCCAGUUCAUAAGAUGGUUUGAGAAAUAUUACAUUAUAUGUGUUUCCAUUUGUGAUGUCCCUUUUGCAUUCUGUUACUCUUGUGUUUAAAUUUCUUCUUACUUCAUAGACACUUUUUACCUUUUUGUUAGGUAAUUUGUAAAAGUAUUGACGUACUUAUAGGUUAUACAAGAAAUAAUUCUACCUUAGGGUUCCCUUAUUUUGUUCAGAUUUUGUGCUAUAGUUCAAGCAGAGUAGAUUCUGUUUGUUCUCAUUUAUAAAAAGGUUAUGUUGGUUCUCUAACAUUCAUUUAAAGAAAGAUUUUUUUGAGUCUUAGAUGAAUGUAUUUGAUUAAUUGUGAGAUGUUUAUGGUUCAAAGUGUAUUUUACUGUUGAUAAUCUCACUCUGGGCCUUUCAUAGGUAAAAUAAAUUGAACAAAAUCUAAAGAUUUGUAACCCA